rnacentral:rRNA from 1 species
AGAGUGAACGCUGGCGGCAGGCCUAACACAUGCAAGUCGAACGGCAGCACAGGAGAGCUUGCUCUCUGGGUGGCGAGUGGCGGACGGGUGAGGAAUACGUCGGAAUCUGCCUAUUUGUGGGGGAUAACGUAGGGAAACUUACGCUAAUACCGCAUACGACCUACGGGUGAAAGCGGAGGACCUUCGGGCUUCGCGCAGAUAGAUGAGCCGACGUCGGAUUAGCUAGUUGGCGGGUAAAGGCCCACCAAGGCGACGAUCCGUAGCUGGUCUGAGAGGAUGAUCAGCCACACUGGAACUGAGACACGGUCCAGACUCCUACGGGAGGCAGCAGUGGGGAAAUAGUUGGAACAAGUGGGGCCGACAAGCCUGAAUCCAGCCAAUGGCCGCGGUGUGUGAAAGAAGGUCCCGUUAGGGUUA